rnacentral:rRNA from 1 species
UAAGGAAUAUUGGGCAAUGGAGGCAACUCUGACCCAGCCAUCCCGCGUGAAGGAUUAAGGCCCUAUGGGUUGUAAACUUCUUUUGUUUGGGAAGAAAUCAGGACAUUCAUGUGCUGUUGACGGUACCUUACGAAUAAGCACCGGCUAACUCCGUGCCAGCAGCCGCGGUAAUACGGAGGGUGCAAGCGUUAUCCGGAAUCACUGGGUUUAAAGGGUGCGUAGGCGGUUUGAUAAGUCAGAGGUGAAAGCUAGCAGCUUAACUGUUAAAUUGCCUUUGAUACUGUCAGACUUGAAUCAAGUUGAGGUAGGCGGAAUGUGACAUGUAGCGGUGAAAUGCAUAGAUAUGUCAUAGAACACCAAUUGCGUAGGCAGCUUGCUGGGCUUGAAUUGACGCUGAGGCACGAAAGCGUGGGGAUCAAACA